rnacentral:rRNA from 1 species
GACGGAGGAUGCAAGCGUUAUCCGGAAUGAUUGGGCGUAAAGCGUCCGCAGGUGGCAGUUCAAGUCUGCUGUCAAAGACCGGGGCUUAACUUCGGAAAGGCAGUGGAAACUGAACAGCUAGAGUAUGGUAGGGGCAAAGGGAAUUCCUGGUGUAGCGGUGAAAUGCGUAGAGAUCAGGAAGAACAUCGGUGGCGAAGGCGCUCUGCUGGACCAUAACUGACACUCAGGGACGAAAGCUAGGGGAGCGAAUGGG